GACACUGGAUCACACCCCAAGAGAAAGGGGAGCUCCAAUGGAAAAGCCAUCUGCACCAUGAUGCUGCCUGUUACUUGACUGAGCGUUCCUGCUGCCCAGAAGCUCCUGUUGUCCUCCCAACUGAUGGGAUGCUCUUGGACAGUGAUGCCAGCUGGAAUUAAGAUUGGGUUUCCAAGGCCACUGUGACCAGCAUGAUUAAUAGUCUGAUGCGACAUGGAACAUCUCAGGGAAGUGCCUUGCUGGCUUCGCCCACCUGGAGCCUCAAGUGAAGUCUCAGAUUCGAAGACCAGCCUUCAUCGGAGUUGGGGUGGAAGCUACACACUUGUAUCAAAGGUUGUAAUCCCAAGUCUGGUCCUGUUUUCUGCGAACAAUAUAAUUGUAAACACAUUGAAUGCGCCUGAAUGGGAUUCACAUAACCUAUUCAAAGGUUAAUAUCACAAGACUGAUAGUGAGCUGGAAGCUCUGAAAUGUAUUUGUGCUCAGGGAAGAUAUUUGCUAAUGUUUGGCUUUUAUUUCCCCUGGAACUUGUACACGUCAGUGAGGCCUGGAGAUAAUGAAUAACAGCAUGGACAAUAAAUUUUAAAACAAACAAAAUAAAAACUCAAAGAACAUUAAUGUAGACCAGUGCUAGGAUAUGAUGUGUGUUACAAGAGAGCAAUGAUUACUCCUUGGUGAGCAGAUUCUAUUAUCUGCUUCUUAGGAGCAGUAGGUGGCUGCCUCUUGAUUGUAUUAGUCCUGGAGUUAUAAAAACCUCAAUCCUUUGCAUUGCAAGAGUGACACAUGGGGCGAGUAGGCAGGUAAGAGAAGGAGCAAUAAGAGGAAGAGUAAUGGGAUCUGUGGCAGGGACUGUUGGCUUUCCACUAAAACCCAUUCUCUCCUUUUUGCCGGGCAAGAGCUAGGCAGUAUUCACCAGCCCCUCUUGCAUUUGGGGUGGCCACAAACUGAAUUCUGGCCAGUGGAGUGAGGGGCUUCUGAGACAGCAGGCUGCCCCUUCCACACUCCUGUUCCCCUUGCAGUAGCUCAAAGCCCCUGGAUGUUGAUGGAAUCAUAGCUGGAAAAAGCCUGGGUCCCUGAGUCACCACACAGCACAGAGCCGGCUGCUGCCCUGGAGCCUCUACGCAAGAAGGUGGUCUAGAAAUACACUUCCAUAUUUCAGCCAGCAUGCCUUGGGAUCUUUUUUUAAUGGUGGUUCAGCCUACCCUAACUAAAGCAGGGCCCACUCAGCACGCCCCACUCAGCGAUUCUGGAAUGGGAGCAGGGUCCACCGAAACUCUGCUUUUCAGAGAGCUCACACCCUAGGGGAGAAAAGGUGAGGACACUGGAGCUGCCAGUCAAGACCCAGGAUGCCAAAAUUAGGGCCCCUAAACACAGCAGGGAGGGUGAGUUAUCCUCUUGUGAGGUGGGAGGAGGGUCCCCGUGAGCAGGGCUCUUCUUGAGCCACACCUGGGUCAUGAGAAGGAGAGAUGCUGAGUGUGACGUGUCAUUCAAAAUGGUGUCUGGAAACUUGAGUUUGUUUCUUCAGUGGAGGGCAGCACAGGUUAAUCAGACAAACCAGCCAUCAACAGGCUUCCUUUGAGGAGCUUGGUAAGAAUGGAAAACCCGGGGCUGACGGGCUUACAGCGCUUACAGAGCAGCACAGUAUCAGGGGCCCAAGGAAACUGGCAGGAAUUGCUGGGGCAAAGCUGAGGUGACGGUACCCCUGGUGAUGGGACGGCAGAGACCCUCCAUGGUAGAGGGAGUGGCGAGACCCCAAGGGACAGUGUGCAAGGACUCUGAUGGCAGCAACAGACUCCUCUAGGAGCUGAUGAGAAAGGCCUGGAAACCCAAGACUCGUCCCUGAGGUUCAACUCCUACCCUGAUCAUCUCCUCCAAGAUUCUGUGACCUGGGGAAGUCAAUAGUACAUUUCAACACAUGUGAAGUCAGCAUGUGAAUGACAUUCCAAUGCUGCUUGUGGGGUCACCCCUGCAAAGAUGAACUCAGUGGAAAGACCUUGCCAAACCGGAAGGAAAACAAGAUACUUUUCUCCAAAAUACUCGUUCAAUAAAUAUUUACUUAGGCUUUACAAAGACAAAUAAGACUUGCCCCGCCUGUUAGAGGUAUGCAUGUCGAGAAAAGGAAGGGGCGAUUCACUAAGAAAAACGCAUUCAGGGAGGAGAAAGAAGGAAAACAUAUAAAAAUUCAGGUCAUAUUAGAAUAAUGUAUAUUACAAUGAGUUUGACUAUAUUUCAGAAAUUUCCCAAAAUAUUCCUUUCAAAUUUGAUUGACAUUCUAAACUAUUUAGCUUGAUAUAAAUGAGAUCUUUGUGCACCCUCAGCAGGAACUGCAUCUUAGCUGGUUUUAAAUCUCAACAAUCACUUUCCUGCCUUGGAAAAGGUAUGAACCAGGCCACUUAUGUAGAAUCCAGGUGGGUUUGAGAGCAGCUUCAGCUGAAUGGAGAAUGACAGGGAGGCUGAGGAACGGAGGGAGGGGACCCUGGGCUGUCACACCCCGGGGACUUAGGAAGGUUCUUGCUCUUGCUGGAAGGGUUGCAAAUCCCUAAACCAAGUAAUCCCGUUAAAACAUGAAACAUCCAGAGUAAAAUUAAGUUUAAAAUACUAUUUGCAAAGUCAAACAUGGUCUUACCAUGGGAUCCAGGCAUCACACUCUUUGGUAUUUACCGAAAUGUGUUGGAAACUUCCAUAUAAAAACCUGCACACAGGCUGGGCAUGGUGGCUCACACGUGUAAUCCCAGCACUUUGGGAGGCUGAGGUGGGCUGAUCACCUGAGGUCGGGAGUUCGAGACCAGCCUGACCAACAUGGAGAAACCCUAUCUCUGCUAAAAAUACAAAAUUAACUGGGCGUGGUGGCACAUGCCUGUAAUACCAGCUACUUGGGAGGCUGAAGCAGGAGAAUCACUUGAACCCAGGAGGCAGAGGUUGCGGUGAGCUGAGAUUGUGCCAUUGCACUCCAGCCUGGGCAACAAGAGUGAAACUCUGUCUCAUAAAAUAAAUAAAUAAAUAAAUAAAAAUAAACCUGCACACAGGCCAGGCGGGGUGGCUCACCCUGUAAUCCCAGCACUUUGGGAGGCCGAGGCGGG
rnacentral:lncRNA from 10 species